CGUAUAACAUUUUGCUCCACUGAUGGUUGUUUUUAGAAGUUGUUGUUUAAGACAAAGACUCUGCUCAAGCAUGGUGGAUCUGUUAUGACAGUCAAACUUAAUGAAGUCCUUUGGCCUCAUCACUUAUUAUGCGAAUCCCUUCAACCAAUCAUCUGCUGGUUCUCUUCAUGGUAAUUCAAGUCCUUUCUUUGUAUCUUCUGGCUUCUCUACACUGUUGCUGCCUUCAGAUCCACCCAGAGACAGGACAGAGUCACCCAGGCUCAGCUAAGAUCCUGCUGUUGUGUUUAACUACACUUCACGACACAUGAUGGACGCAGAAAGGAAUGACAACGGAUGAAGAACAAGCAAAGAACAGGAGACUUCUUAGGACUUCUUCUUAAGUGUGCUGGCCACAUCCUUCUAUGGGGGUAGCUGGGAUGUGGCCACAGGGACAGAAUCGGGUGGGCAGGAGAGGCGACAUGGUAGACAAGCACAGUGCAG
rnacentral:lncRNA from 1 species